rnacentral:rRNA from 1 species
AUUGAACGCUGGCGGCAGGCCUAACACAUGCAAGUCGAGCGAGAGGCGGACGGGUGAGUAAUGUAUGGGGACUGCCCGAUAGAGGGGGAUAACUACUGGAAACGGUGGCUAAUACCGCAUACUAUCGGAUAACCCAUAUGGAAUUAGCUAGUAGGGGGGGUAAAGGCUCACCUAGGCGACGAUCUCUAGCUGGUCUGCGAGGAUGAUCAGCACAACUGGGACUGAGACACGGCCCAGACUCCUACGGAGGAAGCAGGGGGGAAUAUGGGACAAUGGGCGCAAGCCUGAUGAAGCCAUGCCGCGUGUAUGAAGAAGGCCUUCGGGUUGUAAAGUACUUUCAGCGGGGAGGCGUUACCCGCACAAGAAGCACCGGCUAACUCCGUGCCAGCAGCCGCGGUAAUAC